GAUGAACGCUGGCGGCGUGCCUAAUACAUGCAAGUCGAGCGAACAGAUGAGGAGCUUGCUCCUCUGACGUUAGCGGCGGACGGGUGAGUAACACGUGGAUAACCUACCUAUAAGACUGGGAUAACUUCGGGAAACCGGAGCUAAUACCGGAAAAUAUAUUGAACCGCAUGGUUCAAUAGUGAAAGACGGUUUUGCUGUCACUUAUAGAUGGAUCCGCGCCGCAUUAGCUAGUUGGUAAGGUAACGGCUUACCAAGGCAACGAUGCGUAGCCGACCUGAGAGGGAGAUCGGCCACACUGGAACUGAGACACGGUCCAGACUCCUACGGUAGGCAGCAGUAGGGAAUCUUCCGCAAUGGGCGAAAGCCUGACAGAGCAACGCCGCGUGAGUGAUGAAGGUCUUCGGAUCGUAAAACUCUGUUAUUAGGGAAGAACAAAUGUGUAAGUAACUAUGCACGUCUUGACGGUACCUAAUCAGAAAGCCACGGCUAACUACGUG
rnacentral:rRNA from 1 species